GAUCCCUAGCUGGUCUGAGAGGAUGAUCAGCCACACUGGAACUGAGACACGGUCCAGACUCCUACGGGAGGCAGCAGUGGGGAAUAUUGCACAAUGGGCGCAAGCCUGAUGCAGCCAUGCCGCGUGUGUGAAGAAGGCCUUCGGGUUGUAAAGCACUUUCAGUCGUGAGGAAGGUAGUGUAGUUAAUAGCUGCAUUAUUUGACGUUAGCGACAGAAGAAGCACCGGCUAACUCCGUGCCAGCAGCCGCGGUAAUACGGAGGGUGCGAGCGUUAAUCGGAAU
rnacentral:rRNA from 1 species